rnacentral:rRNA from 1 species
CGAUGCCCAAGAGAUCGGGAUAACACCUGGAAACAGAUGCUAAUACCGGAUAACAACAGAUGAUGCCUAUCAACUGUUUAAAAGAUGGUUCUGCUAUCACUCUUGGAUGGACCUGCGGUGCAUUAGCUAGUUGGUAGGGUAACGGCCUACCAAGGCGAUGAUGCAUAGCCGAGUUGAGAGACUGAUCGGCCACAUUGGGACUGAGACACGGCCCAAACUCCUACGGGAGGCAGCAGCG